AUUGAACGCUGGCGGCAGGCCUAACACAUGCAAGUCGAGCGAGCGGCGGACGGGUGAGUAAUGUAUGGGGACUGCCCGUGAUAGGGGGAUAACUACUGGAAACGGUAGCUAAUACAGCAUACUAUCGGAUAACCCAUAUGGGAUUGUCUAGUCGGUGAGGUAAUGGCUAACCUAGGCGACGAUCCCUAGAGGGUGUGAGAGGAUGAUCAGCGACACUGGGACUAAGACACGGCCCAGACUCCUACGGAGGCAGCAGUGGGGAAUAUUGCACAAUGGGCGCAAGCCUGAUGCAGCCGUGCCGCGUGUAUGAAGAAGGCCCGAGGGUUGUAAAGUACUUUCAGUCGGGAGGCGUUACCGACAGAAGAAGCACCGGCUAACUCCGUGCCAGCAGCCGCGGUAAUAC
rnacentral:rRNA from 1 species